GAUGAACGCUGGCGGCGUGCUUAACACAUGCAAGUCGAACGAUUAAACUGGCUUCGGCCAGAUAUAGAGUGGCGAACGGGUGAGUAACACGUGACCAACCUGCCCCGCGCUCCGGGACAACCGCUGGAAACGGCGGCUAAUACCGGAUGCUCCGGGGAGGCCCCAUGGCCUCCCCGGGAAAGCCUUAACGGCGCGGGAUGGGGUCGCGGCCCAUUAGGUAGACGGCGGGGUAACGGCCCACCGUGCCCGCGAUGGGUAGCCGGACUGAGAGGUCGACCGGCCACAUUGGGACUGAGAUACGGCCCAGACUCCUACGGGAGGCAGCAGUGGGGAAUUUUGCGCAAUGGGGGCAACCCUGACGCAGCAACGCCGCGUGCGGGACGAAGGCCUUCGGGUUGUAAA
rnacentral:rRNA from 1 species